rnacentral:rRNA from 1 species
GAUGAAAGAGGGAGGCGUGCCUAAUACACGCAAGUCGAGCGAACAGACGAGGAGCUUGCUCCUCUGACGUUAGCGGCGGACGGGUGAGUAACACGUGGAUAACCUACCUAUAAGACUGGGAUAACUUCGGGAAACCGGAGCUAAUACCGGAUAAUAUAUUGAACCGCAUGGUUCAAUAGUGAAAGACGGUUUUGCUGUCACUUAUAGAUGGAUCCGCGCCGCAUUAGCUAGUUGGUAAGGUAACGGCUUACCAAGGCAACGAUGCGUAGCCGACCUGAGAGGGUGAUCGGCCACACUGGAACUGAGACACGGUCCAGACUCCUACGGGAGGCAGCAGUAGGGAAUCUUCCGCAAUGGGCGAAAGCCUGACGGAGCAACGCCGCGUGAGUGAUGAAGGUCUUCGGAUCGUAAAACUCUGUUAUUAGGGAAGAACAAAUGUGUAAGUAACUAUGCACGUCUUGACGGUACCUAAUCAGAAAGCCACGGCUAACUACGUG